rnacentral:lncRNA from 1 species
CACAUUUUAAAUGCCAAAUCUCUGUACCUAUUCUAUUACAUAACACUAACUAGAAUUCUGAGUGUUUUGUGAAUAUGUUGCUGUCCAAAACACACACACAUUUAUAUAUUAUAUAAAUGAAGUUUAGUCACAUAUAACAUACAUUAAAUACUUGAGAAUCAGGCCUACAGACAACAAAAUUGGUGAAUGAAUAUAAACCCAUUUUGCAAUUCACUUGUGAUUGUAGGAAUUUACAAGGAAAAAUAAUAAAGGCUGAUAGCCUCAACUUAAGGCAGAAUGAUUAACCAAAUCCUUGAGGAUACUUCUGCAGUGAUUAUUUCCAUCCUUUGCGUCACGGUCUCCUCGAUUUGCUGGAUCAAAGGAAUUUGUUUCCUCAACCAAAAAGAAAAAGAAAAGAAAAAAGAAUUAGGGUUAAAUCGUACACGGGGAUUAGGGUGUUUCAGUAAUGCAGCUGUUGGGUUGGGCGUGUAAUUCACGGGGGAUGUCAAAUCGUAGGCAAGAGUUUGAAUCUCUUCUUUUAUUUGCUUUCUGUUCAAAUAUGCUUCACUUGCUCCAUUUUCAAAGUUCAUUAUGUAGUUUUCUUAUAAGGGUCCAUGAUUUUUUACUGACCUUGGACUGGCAAUGAAAGUGAAAACUUGGAGGAGAGAAAUAGGGUUAGAAGCGGGGACCCACAAUUGAAAGCAAGGGAAUCUGAAUGGUUACUUUCAGGGGAACAGAGUUCCUGAAAUUGAAAGAUAGAUACCUUUAUUAUCUUUCAUGCACACUAACUACAAUUUUCCUGAAUUUUUCGCCAGCACCAUCACCACCACCAUUAAAGCUUUUCUUUCAUGCGCAUGCAACCCAAUGAAACAAAAUAAUAAUAAAAUACUGGAGUAGUAUAAAAUAACGAUAAUUAAAAAAAAAAAGCAAUAAAAGAAAAAUACCUCCUGAUCAAUGAAUUCUGAAAUCGUACUUAAACACACACUUUAAAGCAAAAGUUUAAAAUAUAAUUAUACAGAGAGACAAGUGAAGCAGAGAAGCUGAGGCCCCGUGCAGACUACAACAACUGCAAACUAUGAAGUAAUUACACGUGUACAUAGAUAACACGUGUCAGAAAGUCUUAUCAAGAAAUGACCUUUCAAAGGUUAAUUAAUUAUCAGAGAGGACUCACUGGGUACUGCAUUUAAGGUGAGUGGCUGUGAGUAUACAGUAUAUGGAUGCAGAAACAUCAUCAUAUUAUAUCUUCCUGUUUUAAAAAAGAGGAGAGCAAUUAAAGGCACUCGGAAUAACCCCUUUUUUCAUUAAAAAUAAAAAAGGGAAAAAAAUAAGAGAAAGAUUUCCUGCAGUCUGAAUAUUUUUCUAGCUAGUAAAAUUAAAGUGGAUCC